ensembl:lncRNA LINC00654 long intergenic non-protein coding RNA 654
ACCUCCUGGUAUGUUGGUGUCACAAAGGGAUCUUCAUGACUUCACUGCCCUUCCCUCAGGUACUUGAGUCCGGGAACUGACUCUCAACCUGCCUUUGCCUACCUCUCAGUCUCAGAGGAACCCCUUCGUUGAGUUUUUUCCUCCUUUUGGCUCUUGCGUUUCUCUCACCCCAUCUCACCUCCGCCUGUCCAUCAUGAGCCUAUUCUAUUCCCUGUCCUAAGUUUGCACAAGAGACAAACCUGAGGCUCAGAUUGGGUAACACGGCCACAGGUUGACAGCCCAGAUGUGAUGAGCAGGAACAGAGAGAGCAGAGUCCCCAGGUGAAUGGUCAGGCCUUGGGGACUUCAACAAAGAAAGCAAUCAGCCAUGACUGCCUUUGCACUGUCCAUGCUCUCAGCCCACCACCUCCUCCCCCUGCCAUUGCAGUGGCUAACACUGGAGACGAAGACCAAGACACCACAGCCUUUCUCCAGUACCUCUCAAAUCAGCACAGACAAGGACAAAGGCCUCAAUCCACAACUGCUGAAGAUGGACCCUGGCCACAUGGGAUGGUCAGACACGCCUGCCCAGCUAUCUGCAGGCGAAGAGGCUCAGAAGAGGUUUAGGGGCCUGAAGGACAUCUUGCUUCCAUGUCCAUAUGAGCAGGCUAUUUCUGCUCCAUGAGUCAAUUUUGCCAUAUAAAAUACUUAAUUUCAGCCAUUCCAGGGUGCUAUAGGAUGCACAGCUUCCCAUCAGCCCACCUGAACUCCAGCCAUGCCAUUUUAAUACCAGGAAUAAGGUCACCUGCUUUCCUGCCCCUUAGGAGGCCGGAGCCGUGGAAGCAAAAUGGCACUUCUGUUUACCUGUUAUAUUAUUUUUUUGUCAUCCUUAUAUGUUUGAAAAAUGCAAUUAUAUGAAAAAAGUUUAGUAAUUACAGACAUAACAGCAGAAA